CCGAGUGAGGGUGCCUCCGGGCGCCCGACCUCCCAACCCUUUGUUUUGACCAACACCUCAGUUGCCUCGGGGGUGACCCGGCCCUCGCGGGUGCGGGGCCCCCCGUGGACCAAACAUCAACGCUGCAUCUUUGCGUCGGAGUCAUUGAAGCGAAUUCAAUCA
rnacentral:misc_RNA from 1 species